UUUUUCUUCACAUAAACUUUUUGUUUCUUCUGUUUCUUUACAUUUAACUUUUGGGGCCUUCUCUAUGGACAAGUGGCCUUACUGUGACACAUCUCCUUGCAUAUAAUACAUCUAAUUUUCUUUCCAUCCUUAGAAACCCUGUGUGUUCCUGUAUUCUUUGUAGUGGAUUUCUUCUUCUUAGUAGCUGGCCUACCAUGCAUCCGUCUACUAAUAAGAGGCAAUGGUGGAGUAUAAUUUGUCUCUGGCCACAUGUCACUGCCAUUCAUGGGGGAAAUUCUGUAAUUGUAUGCCUUCCGAAUUGUGGUGGUGUUAAACAUGUUGUCUACAUAGGCUUCUACAUCUCUAUUAAGAUUGGAUAUGGUAGCUACAGAAUGAGCAUAUCCAUAUCCAUUUAACCGCCACAACCUACAUGAACAUGUUUUCCUUUAUAAGUCCACCUCAUAUGCAUCUGUUUCUCCCUUACCUCGAACUGGUUUAAUCCACUAGGUAGUACCUGAUAAUGCCUCUGAAUUUUUUAAGCAAAUUCACCUUAUCCCUUAUCUCUGGACAAAUAUUAUUUCCCCAUUGUUGUCCCUUUAAUUUCAUGUUGUACAUUUUGUCCAUCAUGUAUAAUCUUAACUCCUCUAACAUGGUUAUUAUGGGCUUCUUCCUGGUAUCCACUAUUACAACAUUAAAACUUUCAGAGAAAUCAUUUUCAACUGCAUCACAACACCUUCCAGCUUGAAAGUAAGCUCUUGACCAUGUUUUAAGAUCUUUCUCCAUGAGAUAUUGAUGGGCAUCUGGGUUUAAUGUCUCAAUUUCCUUCAUCACAACUUUAAAAGCAUGCUCAUUUGUGGUUUUAGAUGCUCUCCAAAACAAGGUAUGAUAUAUGACACCAGUGAAUCUCUUCUGCAAAUUUUGAAAAAUAUGUCUAGCACACUGCCUGUGCAUAUGGAAGAAACUCUUUAACAGCCUCUAUCAAACCUUGUAUUAAUAAAAAGGUUUAAAUCAGAUAGUAUAAAAUAAAUAUAAAUGAAUUACUAUGUAAAAUACUAACCUUAUGUUGGUCUGACAUUAAACUGAAGCAAUUGCCUAAACUUAAGUUUAGAUUAUUAAUGAGAAGCUCUAAAAACCACUUUUAAUUCUACUUGUUCUCCACACUAACCAUUGCCCAAUCAAUAGGAUAUAUCUUGUUAUUUACAUCCCUCCCAAUAACACAAAGCAAUCCCCCCUUACAAACACCUUUAAGAAAACAUCCAUCAAGACCCAUUAUCCUUCUACACCCUUUAAUCCAACCUUGUUUAAUUCCUUGAAAACAAACAUAGAACUUGCUAGAAUAUUUCUUUCCAUCUGGACCAUCCUCCACAUCUAGUUUCACAGUUGACCUAGGAUUUGUCCUUAAAAUCUCAUCAACAUAUUACCAUAGCUUACCAUAAUGUUCAACAAGGCUACCUUCAACAAGAUUUAAUGCAUACUUCUUUGUUCUCCUACAUUAGCCCAUACUAACUUGGAUACUAAACUUGGUCAUUACCUUUACCCUAAGCUUCCUUACACUCAUUUUAUGACUUUGUACAAUCUCUUUGGUAUAGUGACUCCCAAUCCAUGCAUAUGUCACCAAUAAUCCAAACUUGAAGUUCCUAGCACAAUUAUGAUAAGCUUUUUGUGACUUGAUUUGGAAAGUCUCUCCAUCAUUCAUCCAAGAAGCCCAUAAUAUAAAUGUGCAAGCACCCUUGCUACAUCUCACCAAAAGUCUUUUCCUAUCAUAUUUUUUCAAAACACAAUUGAUAUCCAUUAGCCACAACAUAGUUGCACAACCUUGACUUUACUUGCCCUGGACCCUUAGAUCUCAUUCCUAGAAUUGGUUUUUGUUUUUUCCAGUGUAAUAGCUCAUUAAAUAUGGAAAUAGUUUGGAUGUUAGGUUCAACUUCUCUCCCAUUAUCAUCAUCUACAAUGUUGUUAUCCUCCUCAUCAUCAACACACAACUUACUCACGAAAGGAUCAUUUGAUGUCCUAUUCAUAUGCACUGCAUCCUUAUUAAAUUCAAAGACAACAUUCCUAAGUUCAUCUAUGUUAUCUUCAUCUAUGUUAGCGGCGCAGCUUUUUGCCCGUUUGCCUUCAAUCGAUAUGUAUUGAACAAAAAUGUUUGAAUGUCUAUCAAUACAAGGCUCAUGUUCAUCAUCAAACCACCCACCAACACCAACCCCAAUAUGAUCCACAUAAACCGAAAUUACACCAUCUGUUCCAUCAACAUCAAAAAUAAAAGCAGCAUAGUCCACAUCAUCUGAAAAUGGGAUUAAGCUCUUCCAUCAGGGAAUUGCCUGGUUUACAGUAGUAAAACUUUUUACACUCUUCAUGCAUGAAAUGUUCACAGAAGGUCACAAGCUCAGAAUAAGUCAUAGAAGAAAAGUCGACAUCAGUGAACAUGGUUUUCACACCACCAGUGUAAGAGAAAGGAUUUCGAUUAAAUACCCCUUGGUAGUUGAGUUCCACCAUCACAAACACUCCAUUAGGUUCCGAUUGUGCCAUUUUUGCGACUUCUUUGGCUCUUCAGCUCGAUCACAAAAAUGCUUCACAAAACCUAAAUCAAUUUCUUUUAAAACUAAAUAAUGAAGACGAGUGAAGUUCGAUAGCUGAAGACAAAAGGCUUAAAGCUUCGUAUAUCAUCUAUUGAUGUGGCAUAUCUCACAUGGCAUCAGAUUAGCUAAAAAAGAUAUAUUAAUUGACAUAUAUAAAAUGUCAACCAGGAAACCGUUUACAAGUAUGGAAAUGACUAAAUUAAUAAGUCAGAUACCAUUUUAAUGGUCUAAUGUACCCAAAAAACUUUAAUGACCAAAUUAGCCAAAUGUAAAAAGUUUCAUGUGCUACAGUGACAUUAUCCCUGAUGGGUUUUGAGCAUUCUAACACUCCUAUGGUGUACAUGCAACCCUAGAAACCUUGGAUCUAUGUUUGACUAAUAUACAUGCAAAUAAUUAUUUUCCAAGGUUCUUAUCCUAUCUAGCAUGGCAUGGGAACUUGAAUCAAAUAGAGCUAGUAGAAUUACUUACCUUGUAGUUGUUUAAAGCUUCGUAUAUCAUCUAUUGAUGUGGCAUAUCUCACGUGGCAUCGGAUUAGCUAAAAAAUAUAUAUUAAUUGACAUAUAUAAAAUGUCAACCAGGAAACCGUUUACAAGUAUGGAAAAUGACUAAAUUAAUAAGUCACAUACUAGUUUAAUGGUCUAAUGUACCAAAAAAACUUUAAUGACCAAAUUAGCCAAAUGUAAAAAGUUUCAUGUGCUACAGUGACAAUAUCCCUGAUGGGUUUUGAGCAUUCUAACACUCCUAUGGUGUACAUGCAACCCUAGAAACCUUGGAUCUAUGUUUGACUAAGAUACAUGCAAAUAAUUAUUUUUCCAAGGAUCUUAUCCUAUCUAGCAUGGCAUGGGGAACUUGAAUCAAAUAGAGCUAGUAGAAUUACUUACCUUGUAGUUGUAGUUGAUUGCUUGGAGUUUUAGAGCCUAGCACCAAUAGUGUGGAUGCCUCAAAUGUAAAUCACAAAUCACUACAAACUUGGAACUUUGAGAGAAUAGUAACCACCUUUCUUGAAAUCGGCCCUCUUACUUUACUCACCACAACUAGUAUGAUUUCAAGAACCAAAGCCUCCUUUAUAUAGUGUGGUGGAUUAGGGUUACAUCCAUGUAAACCCUAAUACCCAUGUCUUUUCAUUUCCAUGAGAUCCAUGGGUUAAAGCUCCAUGGAGUAUCCAUGGACUUUCCAAGCAAGCCUAGCCCAUUCCAAAUAAGCAUUAGCCCACACUAUAUAAAUAUAAGAGCCCAUAUUUAAUUAGUAAUACUUUUGAUCUCUAAAUUAAUUUUAGAUUAAUUAUAGAUCAAUACUAAUUAAAUAAUAUGGUUUUAUAUUAAUAUAUUAGAACUUAUAAUAUAUUAAUAAAUCAUAACUUAUACUAUUCUCAAAAGAUUAUCCAUAAAUUGUUCGGGUGAAGUGCAACCCAAAUGGACCAUGACGGGUCGGGUCAAGUACAUACCAAAUAUAGUUAUGGACUUAGACACUAUAUCCAACAAUCCCUACAUAAAGUCAUAUGUAGUCAAGGAUCAGAUAGAUAAUCGAACAUAUGACUCACCUAAGAGCGAACAAUCAGAAAAGAACAUCACAAUCAAGCCUUAGAUCAAGAGUUAUCAGUCUAUCCAACUUAAACUAGAUAGACCUAAGAUAUUAUUACCACCUAACCAUGUGACAUAAACAUUUAACAGAUACUAGCAUAUUUAUACACUUAGCAACUAUCCUUCCCUAGUUACCCUGUCAUUGAUCACUUCUCAAUCAAGUGAUCAUCUGGUCAGUCAUGCAUAAUCAUGAUAAUUGACCUACCCCAAUUUCCCUAACUAAACAUAACUCAUAACAAUAUCAUACAAUAAAUAGGAAAGACCUCACAAGAAUAGCAUACCCAGACACCAAGUGUUCUAAACUGCACAUGCAUAUCCUAGCCAACUAGCAUAUUUGUACUCUAACAGUAUCUCCAUCCUAUCAUGCACAGGAUAUAUAAUGAGAUAUGUGGCAUACUAUGAAACUCACCUGAACUGAAGAACCGGAGAAGCACAACAACACUCUUACACAUUUCACUACUCGAUCAUGUGAACCAAUUAACACCAAAAUAGAUAAAUCCUCAAUCAAUAAUCCAAAUCCUCCAAGUUUGACCCUAAGUCAAACUGGUCAAAAGUCAAUAGUCGAUGUAACGCCCAUGUUUCUUUCCAGACAUUAACUAAAUAAUUAGGGUCAACAAUCACCACAACGUGGUAACCUCUUGGCCACAUCCUGGGAAUUUCCAUACAAAAUAGUUACGAAGCUUAGGAUCACCAUGUCGUUGCAAGCCUAUUGCCACGUCGUGGAAAUUCACAGGAAGUCAUAUUCUUCAUUAUGAGCUUAAUGCUUACAGAUCUAAGCUCAAACUUUCAUAUUUGAUUCUUCUUGAUGAAUUAAUGGAUCUUAAACCAUAAGUCUAUUAAGUCUUUAAUAUGACCAAAACUAGAGCAUGGAGAAAAGGGAGCUAUGAAUUAACGCUUUUUCCAUCAAACAAGACCAAAAGAUGGUCACCAAACAAUUCUAAAGUUCUGGAGUUGGCCAAAACUCCAAGAAAAUGCCUUCAAGGGACUUCAAAGCAUGAUAUGAGAGAAAAGGAUGAUAAAGGUGGAAGCUUUAUACCUUCCCAAAAUCCACAAGACAUAGGAGAUGCAAGAUCUGAAGUAGAUACACCAUUCAAACUAGCAAACACACUGUCGUUUCCUUCCCAAAGUGCAACCCAAGGCUUCAAACUUCAAGAACUCCAAGAACUCAUCAAUAUCACUCAAAUAGGGCUAGGGUUUCGAAAUAGGAGGAUGGAGACUGAGGGAAAUGAGCUAACCCUAGAGUUAAGGCCAUUAAAUAUGGGAGAAAAUAUAAAAAAAAAAAUUAUGUGCUUGGGCUACAGCACUCACAACGUCGUGGCAACCCUCUAGUCAUGUCGUGGUGCUCUUCAAAAUGUGCGUUCCCGAAAAUAUGUGUCACGUCGUGGUCAUCCAUGCACCAUACCAAGGCAUAGAUUUUUCUCCUAAAACCCCAUCUUUGAUCCUAUUAGCUCUUUAGUUAAACUAUUAUAGAAAAUAGGUGUUAUAGCCACCAUUCCGAGUUCCUUCUGUGACUGCUAAAUUAGUGUUUGGCGGGUUGGGGAGCCCGACUUCUUUCUCUUAUAUCUUCACAUAUAUAUAUAUAUAUAUAUAUAUAUAUAUAUAUAUAACAUUUUUUUUUCAAAAGUGUAAUACUAUCAAGGGAAAUUGACUUAUCAGGGUAAUUACUGUUUUGUUUUGUUCACAUCGGGGUAACUCUUUUUUUAGUACACAUCUAGGUAACAAACUUUUUGUAAGUGUUCACAUGUGACCAUUAUAAUUGGUUGUAGCAAGUUACAACCGAACGUAAUUGUCAUAUAUGAACACUUCCAACAAGCUCGUUACCUCGAUGCAUACAAAAAAAUGAAGUUACACAUAUGUGAACAAAACGAAAAGGUAAUUACCCUGAUAAGCCAAUUUCCCUUUUUAUUAAGGUGGCAAAUCAUAAUGUUUGUAAUAUUAAUAUAUUCAUUUAAAUUUCUUUAAAACAACAUUUGUAACACCCGGAAUCUAGAAGAUUAAUUAUGGAAACAAAUUCCCUUACCUAAGUAAAAACACGAUGAGUUGAUGGUGGGAAACUCGAUGUGUUGGAGGUUUUUGGGACACACGUUUUUAUGAACCAACUCGGUGAGUUGGUGAAGGAAAAUCGGCGAGUUGGACACUGACUGAGAAACCCUAAUUUUUAGGGUGUUACACCCUAUUUAAAGACCUUAAGUUCUUUAGCUGGCCUCCUUACCGGCCUCCUCUAUCCAGAAACCCUAAAACUGAGCCUUGUCUUCCAUUUAUGAGUGUGAAAGCUUGGGGAGAGCCUUGAGAGUUCAUUUUUGGUGCUUUUUGAAGGAGCUAAGGAAUUAGGAGUUGCUUGGCUUGAAGAAGAAGUCUUGGAUCCAGAAUCUCUGCCUCAUUUGCCAAGUUUUUGAGGAAUCGUGUUCUUACCUUGCUUAUUUGUUGCUUAGAUCUCUUCUUGGGUUAGAGUUUAUGAUUUUUAGCCAUUUUGGGUGAAUGUUGGGGAUUAGGAGGUCCCAAGCAAUUAUUAUUUCAGAUAUAAGGGCUAGCGGCGCUGCUUGUUGCCCGUUCGCCUUCAAUCGAUAUGUAUUGAACUUUCAUUGGAGUAUAUUUUCUUAAUAUAAAUAUAUAAUAGAUAUAAGGUCUACAUGAGCUCUUUAGGCAUAAAGGUGCCAACUUUAUGGAUUUAAUGGCUUCAUGUAUUCAUUAAGUCUUUCAGUUAGCCCUUUUUGAGCUUUUGAUCACCUCCUAGUCAUGCUUAAGUGUAAAGUUGGAAACUUUACACGGCCAUCUAGCCUUAUGGGGACAGAUCUGCAUUAUGGGUUUUAUCUUUGAUGAUUAAGUGAUUAAUGAUUAAGCCUUCACUCUUUUAAGUUUAGGGUUUGGGUUUGGACCCAUUAGGUGAUUCCUAGGGGUAAAGUUGGAAAAUUUACCCUUCUUGAUCUCAUUUUGGUCGAGAGCAGAGCUUUGGAGCCUUUGGACUCGAUGAAGGUACCUUAAUGCAUUAAGAUGUUGGUUCUUGAGAGAACUCGGCGAGUUGACUUGGUUUCCCCGAUUUGUGUAGUUGAUGGAGAAACUCGACGAGUUGGGUUAACUUGGACCGUUGACUUUGACUUUCGAUUUAUGUCUUUGAACAAGUUUGUCCCAAUGGGUACUUGAGGUAAUCUGAAUUGUAAUUAAGGGAAUUAUGAGAUUAGGAUAAGGCCCAUAUGGGGUUGGUCCCAAUUUGGAAAAUUGGGCCAUUACUGGGCCUUUGCGGAUCUUUUGGUUUUGGACUUUUUGGUUAAUGGAAUUUGGGCCUCAGUUUUGGUUCAUGACGCGUUAGGGUUAAAAUGGUCAUUUUCCCCCAAGUAUGGAUGGAGGGCUUUAGAAUGGAACCCAAUUGCUAAUUAGGUGUUAUUUUGAUCUCAUAGCUCGGAGGUCUCAUCAGGGCAGCAGCUAGGGACUUCUUUCUGUGAGUUUCUGCGUUCGAGGUGAGUCUCCUUACUUUUCUAUGGUUUGAAGGCAAUAAUGACGGCCCAUUUGGUUUAUGUAUUAUAGGAAGACCUGGGGGAUAAACCUUGGCAGUUUGUAUGAAAGACCAGGAGGCGGCUCCUGGCAAACUGUAUGCAAGACCAGGGUCUGAACUCUAGCAGUUGACUAGUUAAGUAGUGUAGAUUUUAUACUAUUUGUCUUUGUGACACUUUCAUGGAAGACUCGAAGGUGGAUCCUGGCACUUGUCUGUAAGACCUAGGUUUUUGGCCCCCGGCCUGACAAGGAAGACCACAAGGCGGCUCAUGUCAUAAUGGCAAGACUAUGGAUGGCACAUAUCACCUUUACUAAUUGGGGUAUAUGUAUGCUAAGUAAGACUCAGUGAUAUUAAUGUUAUUUAUAGUUUUGAGUUGAGUUUUCUCCUGCGAUUGAGGUGCAACAGUUGGUGCGAGAGUUUCUGGAUCUCUGUCAGACUACUGAGACUGUGGCAGAUUGUGGAAGGGUGGAAGUGAUGUAAGACUGAGGGGUGGCCCGUAGCAUUCACUAGUUAGAAGUUGGUAUAAAAAUGUUGUAAGACUGUGGGGUGGCACGUAGCAUUCACUAGCGAUCAGAUAGUGUGGGAAGUGUUGUAAGACAGAGGGGUGGCCCGUAGCAUUCACCAGUCCCUAUACAGCGGUGAGAGUGUGGCAAAUUUGUGAUUUGCUCACGGUUUUCUUCGGAUGAUUUUGGCCAGGAUGGAUCAGUUCGCAAGGCUAUGGGAAGGACACAACAUGUUUGGAAUCAAGAUAUGGGAGGUCGUGGGAGACCGGGUUUGAGGUAAGACUAUAGUUGGUCUGUAACGUUCAACCUAGUAUCAGAUUAUUGACGAGACGGUUUGGGUAGUUAUUGCCAGUGAGGCUUUUUUUCAAAAGUUGCGAUGGGCGAUUGUGUGGAGUUUCAAAAGCAGCUACGAGGCAACAAGCUGUUUUGGGCAGUAUUAGUGAUUUUUGGGCAGUAUUUUCGGGUAGUACUAGUCAUUUGGAAUUUGUGUGUGAAUAUGUAAUUUUUCAAACAAUUUUUUUUUCAUUUAUAAAACUCAUAAAAACUCAUAUAUUUCAUUUCAUAAAAUCACAAGUGUCUCAAGUCAACAUAAAUCCACAAGAAAAAUCAAAUCCUAGAAUCCUCAACAUAAUCUCGAACAGGUGUGUACAAUCACGUCGGUGCCUUCCCGCGAUCCUCGGAGGUACUUGAAACACAUAUCACAUAGCACGGUAAGCAUAAAGCUUAGUGAGUUCCUCAAAAUACCAUGCACACACAUAAUUAGCCACUCGAGGCUAUCGCUCUGUAAGACCCUCCGGUUAAUGUGUCUUAGCGAGACCCACCAGUCCUACAAAUCGUCAGACCCUCCGGUCCGGUCUAAGUGAGAACCCUCCGGUCUCACUACUCGUUGGACCCUCCGGUCUAGUCUAAGUGAGGACCCUCCGGUCUCAUAGUUCGUUGGACCCUCCGGUCCGGUCUAAGUAUCUCAUAAUAUAGUACACAGUAUAUAUCACACAGAAAUACAUAACUCAAGCAAGCACAUAAGACCCUCUGGUCACACAUAAUGACCACACUAGGUAAGGUAUAAUGAGAAGACUCACCUCCUAAGAACUCGGAUAAUCUCAAACUCAAAUCACAGGUUUAGCCUCCGCCUAAUAUACACAAUAAUUAUCCCUAAUUAAUAACGGCUCUCACAAGGCUGAACUAACCCUUCCAUACACUCACAGAAGGGUAAAAGACCAUUUUACUCCUCCAUGGGCUUAAUAGACCACAUGUUGACCAAACCCUAAAAGUCAACCGAAAGCCAACAGCAAGGAGUACGCUGUGCGUACCAACUCCCUACGUUGGGCAUACUCGGCUGCCAUGCAGGCAUCGUGGAGACUCGACCUCUACGUUGUGCGUACUGGGAUUAUGCCCAGCGUACAUCCUAGUUUCACUCUCCUCACAAUUUUGGUCUUAAACAGUUAAUACAUUGGCUCAUAAUUCAGAUCUGGACUCCCUAAUGUCUCUUAAUCCAUAAAGUUGGUGACUUUAAGCCUUUGCGUGGCUAAAUAGGUCACAAACACUGAAAACUCCCAUCCCCUUUCCUCAUGAAACUCAUAACUCAUGCAUGGCUUACUCCUAAUGUCCAAGAUUAGAUUUUUAUGACUUUACUCCACAAAAUACACUGAAAAGGGAUAGAUCAAGGCCUCUAGAGUGCAUUAUCUCAUAAAGUCUCCAUCUUUUGGGAAAAAACCCUAAAGUAAUUCAUAUGAAUGCACCAAACAAACAAAUGAGAAAGCUUGAAGAUUUAUACCUUUAUGUGAAACCUUCUUCACAGCUAAGCUCAGAUCCAACUCCUGGGGCUCUCACUCCUUCUUCUCUAAAGCUUCCUCUCUACUUCAAGAACACAAGAUUACACCAACAAGCUCUCAAAUGCACUCUCCAGCUAUAAUGACGGAGAUUUAGGGUUAGGAGGGGUUGGUGUUUGGGAAUGGUGGCCAGGAAUGAGGCCAUCAUGUCCUUUAAAUAGUGAGCUCAUUAAAAUUUAGGGUUUCAUUAUGGGCCUAGCAUGCCCAGCGUACCCACUGGUACGUCGCGCGUACUAGGUGGCCUCCACAUCACUAACACGCAUUGGAGUAUGCUGAGCGUACACUCAAGUACGCCCCGAAUACUCGUUUACCACCUUUUCUCUAAUAAGGCCAAAAUGGACAAAUGCUCAAUAGAUCAAGGUUUACAAGGUAUACCUGGACUUGGGAUGUUACAUCGUGUGUGAGUCUCUUGUAGUUCGGGGAAUAUAAUAAGUUGCUUGUAGUGGAUUAAAUAAUCUCAGAGUGGUUGAUUUGAUUCUAUUGCGCAGUUCUCGUCUGAGUCUAACCAUUGCAGGGAUGAAUCUUCUACUCAAAGGAUUAUCUGAGCCUAUUGUCGAGUAUAAGUGUUCUGUAGCUGCAAAUGAUCUGUUUUUUGGUUCCUUUAAAAGCAUUAAGAUAUUGGUUUUAUAGUGGUUCAGAGAGGGGGAGGGGGUGAUCAGCCAGGAAGUCAAAUCAAAUUGAGAUUUCAGGUAUCAGGAAAGGUAAAGGUGGGUUUUUCUGCAAGGGAUUAAGGUUCGUUCUGCUAGGGUUGGUUUCAGUUGCUAUGGGAAGGUGGUAGUAUUAUGGGGUUGUGAAGAUGAGUCCUUAUGGGGACAGUGUUAUCUGGUGCUAUCUGUCAUGGAGUUCGGCAAUGUCCAGGGUUUUCCAGGUUCAAGUUUAAUGGUUAGGGAUCUUCUAUUUUGGAUUUGUCAUCGGUAUGGGUGGGCGGUUAUCUAAGCGGGGUGACUUCCUUAGUCUUUUGGGGUUCAAGGAGUUUAGUCAGGAUCAUCAGUUCGGUACACGAGAUUUUAGGGAAUGAUUUCGAGGAUGAAAUCUAAUUUAAGUGGGGGAGAGUUGUAACAUCUGGAAUUUACAAGAAUAAUUGUGGAAAUAAAUUCCCUUUCUAGGGACCAACACGGCGAGUUGAUCGUGGGAAACUCGACGUAUUGGAGGCUUUUGGGAUGAGCGUUUUUAUAAACCAAUUCAAUGAGUUGGUGAAGGGAACUCGGCGAGUUGGACGCUAAUCGAAAAACCCUAAUUUUUAGGUUGUUGUACCCUAUCUAAAGGCCUUAAGUUCUUUGGUUGGCCUCCUUACCAGCCUCCUCUGUCCAAAAACCCUAAAAUCGAGCCUUAUCUUCCAUUGUUGAGUGUGAAAGCUUGGGGAGAGCCUUGAGAGUUUAUUUUUGGUGCUAGUUGAAGGAGCUAAGGAAUUAGGAGUUCCUUUCCUUGAAGAAGAAAUCUUAGAUCCAGAAUCUCUGCCUCAUUUGCCAAGUUUUUGAGGUAUCAAGUUCUCACCUUGCCUGUUUGUUUCAUAGAUCUCUUCUUGGGUUAGAGUUAAUGCUUUUUAGCCAUGGUUGGGUGGAUUUUGGGGAUUAGGACAUCCCAAACGAUUAUUAUUUCAGAUCUAAGGUAUAUAUGAGCUCUUUUGGCAUAAAGGUGCCAACUUUAUUGAUUUAAGGGCUUCAUAGAGUCAUUAAUUCUUUCAUUUAGCCGUUUUUGAGAUUUUGUGCUCGUCCUAGUCAUGCUUAAGCGUAAAGUUGGAAACUUUACAUGGCCAUCUAGCCUUAUGGGUUCAGAUCUGCAUUAUGGGGUUUUGUCUUUGCUGAUUAAGUGCUUAAUGAUUAAGCUAUCACUCUUUUAAUUCUAAGGUUUGGGUUUGGACCCAUUUAGGUGGUUCCUAGGGGUAAAGUUGGAAACUUUAACCUUCGGGGUCUUAUUUUGGUCAAUAGCUGAGUUUGGAGCUCUUGGAUUCGAUGAAGGUAGCUUAACGCAUUAAGCUGUUGGACUUUUAGAGCUCAUAUCGUGAGUUCGAUCUUAUCCAUCCGCUGAAUCGACUUCUGACAGCCCGACUCUGGAACCCAUCCAUCACUGGCUCACGUCGUGAGCUUCAUGCUCACGUCAUGAGUCCUCUUAUAGUGUGGGGUUGAGUCUUUUACUCGAAGGAUUAUUUGAUCUUUGUUGCGUGUGGCUAUAUUAAUGAGGAAGCUAGUUGACAUUGGUGGGAUUCCUUUAGCAGUUGAGGGUUUGGUGAGGUCGGGAACCUAGGAAAGCCUAGGAUAUGCUUUAGUGGGUUAGUGGUACGGUUUAGUGAGUUUUGGUGCAUUGUGCUGAAGAAGUGACUUAGAGGAUUCGAGAGGAUUACUGAGGAAAGUAUGGAUAGGUGGGCUUUAGAAUGGAACCCAAUUGCUAGUUGGGUGUUAUUGUGAUCUGAUAGCUCGGAGGUGUCGUCAGGGCACUAAUGUCGGCCCAUUUGGUUUAUGUAUUAUAGGAAGACCCAGGGGAUAACCCUGGGCAGUUUGUAUGAAAGACCAGGAGGCGGCUCCUGGCAAACUGUAUGCAAAACCAGAAUCUGAACUGUGGUAGUUAACUAGUUAACUAGUGUAGAUUGUAUGCUAGUUGUCUUUGUGAUGCUUGCAUGGAAGACUCGGAGGUGGCUCAUGGCACUUUUUUGUAAGACCGCAGGUUUUGGCCCCCGCCCUGACAAGGAAGACCACGAGGCGGCUCGUGACAUAAUGGAAAGACUAUGGAUGACACAUAGCACCUUUACUGAUUGUAGUAUAUGUAUGCUAAGUAUGGCUUGUUGAUAUGAAUGUUAUUUAUGGUUCAAUCGGUAUGUUUGGUAUGUGGUAUUUGGGGAACUCAAGAAGCUAUGUGCUUACAUUUUGUGCUUUAUGGUUUCAUGUAAUUCCAUUUUGAAAGGAAAGGGUUCGGCUUAAUCGCAACGCAUACACCCAUGUUUUCCGCAAUGUGUGAUAUUUAGGAAUGAACUCUGAUAAUUGUUUUAUUUUGAAACUCUUCUAGAUGUCGGAUUAAAGGUUAAUGAAUGUUUUGGGCAUAAUAAAAACGAAAUUUUUACCCCUGAUUUUCGGGAUGUUACAACAUUUAUUACCAUUUAUUGACAUUUAAAUUGGCCACGACAUGUUUGAAACCAUUUGUGAUAGCAUAAUUAUCAAAUCAAAUAACUCUAUAUAUUGAGACAAGAGCAAUGUUAUCCAUGUGGAUAAAAUGUAUUUCUAUUUUUUGUAUUUUAAAUUCAUGUAAUACAUGGAACAAAAUUGAAGAUGAUAUUCUAUUUCAUGUUAUUGGUCUCAAUAUCUGACACUUUUAGUAUCUAGUAAAUUUUAAUUUUCAUAUGUAAUAUCUUAAACAAUAAAAUUCUAUAAAAUGACGAUGUAUUUUUUCCAUGUCAAAUGUGAUUUUUUUUUUGUAUCAAAGUAGUGUAUUUUAAAAAGAUAUUUACCAAGUUGGAUUGAGUGACAAGUGGAUUGAGUUAACUGAAAAAAAAAAUUAUUUUUCAUGGGUUAGAAAAGAUGAAAAAAAAAAGUUGAUAUAGAACUCACACCACAUGAAUGAUUUGACACCGUUCUACUCCUACGACCUUUACCCCCAACAUCGAAUUCAUUAUGAUUGUUAGCCUAUCUUACGAGACAGACAUGACCUCCUACUACCAUGUAUACUAAGUCCCACUAUUUAUAACUCUACCCUAUAAAACUCGACGGAGCGCUGGGGUGAAGGGUUACGGGAUCCUUUCCCGCUCACCGGAACANNNNNNNNNNNNNNNNNNNNNNNNNGGGGGGGGGGGGGGGGGAAGGCUGCUGCACUCUCUCUCUCUCUCUUCUUCCUAUUGGCUGGUUUUUUUCCCAAGCGAACUGUUUGAAAUAAAUAACAAAAUUAAUUUUUUUUUCAAUACAACUAUUGAAAAACAACAAUGAAUUUAUAUAUAUAUAAUUUUGUUUUUACCUCUAUAACAUCUAUAAAUAUACACAUACUUUAACCUUUCAAACUCACACCUCCUUCUAUGAAUUUCUCUGUACUUUCUUCAAAAAAAGGAAUCCAUACAACCAAACCCCAAACUUCGAUAGAAGGAAAAAAACCAAUGUUUCAAAUUUAAGCACCCCAACUCGAAACAUUUUUGAUAUCGAUUCAUCUCAAGGGGUUUAUCGUCCACAACUCGAUGCUCACAUUUAAUCUUCACUACAAUCACAAUACCAAAAUAUUAGACAAUUUUACCCGAUGCAAGUUCCAAAUGUUACUCCAAAUAUGCUAUUAAACUUUGUUGUUUUUCCUGAUCAACUUUCGCCAAAUCAACCCCAAACUCAAAUCCCACUCUUUCAAUCUCAAACCCAAACCCAACCUAAGCCCAAACACAAUAUCAACAACAAUACCAAAUCUUCGAUGAGUCGGAUGAAGAGAUUGUACGGGAAACUCAACCCACAACCCCCAACCCCACAAAGUAAAACAACAAGUGAGAGAGGGUUCCAUACAACCGGGACGACAGAAGCCGCAACCAUGGACUAAACGAGAAGAGAUAAUUGGGGUAAAAGCUUGGGUUGACAUUUCAGAUGAUUCAGCGACAGGAAAAUGCACAACCUGAGGAUCAUUUUUGGUUUCACAUUCUUGAGAGGUUUCAUAAGGAGAUGGGAAAAAGUGACGAGUAUCGUACCAAUCAUCAAUUGAAUUCAAAGUUUCGAGAAAUAGCGUGGGCCGUUUCAAAAAUGAGCGGGUGUACAACAACCUAAAAACCUAAUGGAAAAGCAGCCAAGGAGAUGAAGAAAUACUUCAGGAAGUUUUGCAUUUUUUCGAGAGGAAGUGGGAAAGUCAUUCAAGUGCCACGAUUGUUGGAAAAUAUUGAUUAAAAGUCGUAGGUGGAAAAAAUACGAGCAAGAGUUUAUACGUCGAGUACAACAAUCAAAACGAACAAAAAUGAGCUCUAGUGGUUACACAACUUCCUCCGAUGCUCGGGUCGGUCUAGAUUUAAAUGACGAGGACGCACUCGAGCUAGAAGAAAUUGUCCGACCGAUAGGUAGGGACAAAGCAAAAAUGAAGGGAAAUGAGACUUCUUGGGGUGAAUCGAAUUUCAGCAUGGACGCGGACCAAGUGCGAAAAAUGGUGGAGAUAUUUGAUCGAUAUAAUCUUAAUUUUGCUGAAAGUUUUGGCAUUCGACAAAGACAAAGAAGGAGAAAAAAAGAAGGAGAACGCAUAGAAACAAGAAAUGGAGGAGAUGAUGUUAUUGAUGAAAAAUACCGACCAUCUUUCGGGACUAGCUUCGGAGCUCGUUUUGAAAAAAAAAGGUGCGGAUUAUGCAAAAAUAUUUUCCCUAAGAGUGUUGUUUGUUUUUUUUUUCUAGUUAUUUAAAUCUUAGGUUUUUAUGUAAUUUUUAUUAUAAUUAACAAUGGCGGAGUUACUAUAUCAUUAUAAAUAAUAUUUUGUUUCUUAUAAUGAUAAUCUUUCCUAAUAAAUAAAGAACUUUUUGUCACAUGUCAAACUCUCAUUGAUUUGACCACAUGUCAUUUUGUGGUUAUUUUCAAUUAAUUUUUUUUUACACAUGUCAUUUUGGGGUUUUUUCAUUUUAUUAAUUUUCACAUAAUAUUUAAAUGUAAUAAUUACAAUAAAUAUAAUAAUAAAAUGCAUAUCAAUUUUAUUAAUUGACUUCCUUUUAAUUUUAAAAUUUCUAAAUUAAAGUUUCAUUAGUUUCCUUUAUUUAUUUAUCUAAAUUAUUUGUUUAAUUUAAAAGAAAAACAAACAAUUUAAUUUUAAUAAUUAAAUGUUUUUCUAUUGUUUUCUUAUAAAUUCAAACUUGUCAAAUGUUUAAAAUUUUAUAUGUUUUUCUUUAAAAUGAACUCAUGUAAUACAUGAGUGUUACACCUAGUGAUAGAUUAUAUCACGAGUACAAUUCAUUUAAUGAAACAUAUGUACGUAUAAUUAGAGAAAAUUUUUAAUAUUAGCAUGUUAAUCCUCUCUAAAAAAUAAAAAUAAUUUUGCCACAUAUCACUCUUUUAUUAAUUUGGACACAUGUCAUUUUUUGGUAUUUUUGAUUAAAUGUUUUUUCCAUUUGUCAAUUUUUUAUUUUUUAAUAUUUUCUUAAUUAACACAUCAUAUAUACACCUCAAUUAAUAAUUACCUUAAUUGAAAAUAACCAAUAAAUUACAAUAUUAAUAGUCAUAUAGUAUUUAAUAUGUUUCCUUUUAAAUUUAAAUUUUAAAAUUUUAAUUUCAAAUCUAAAAUUUCAAAUUUGAAUAAAAUUUGUUUGAACUUUUAUAUUUAAUUUUUGUUUUAUCAAACUCGUAUAACAUACGGGUCUCACACCUAAUGGAGAAUUAUAAAUCAACGUUUAUUGUCGGUCUAAACUUUUGAAAUGUCAUUUUUGCAAUGAUCGGUAUAACUUCUCCUUAAAGGAAUUUUUAUAGUCAUUUUCUCUUUCAAGAUUGUAGACUCUUUUACAUUAUUUUGAUAAAAGAUAUAUUUGAAUAUAUUUUUACGACGUCGGCUUUCCUUAUUCUUAAAUCCUGGCUCCGUUCCUUUUAAUUAAUGUAGUGGUUUUUAUUUUUAAUUAUAUAUAUAUAUAUAUAUAUUACUUAUUCAUUUAUAAAAUUAUAAAUCAUAAAAUCAAUUAUUUUUACUUAAAAAAGAGUGAUACACCUUUACAAAAUUAUAAACCAUAAAAAUCAAUUAUUUUUACUUAAAAAAUAGUGAAAAAACCUUCCCACAUACACCUUGGUUUCUAACUAAGAAAAAAAAUGUAGGAAAAAGGAUAAAAUGAUAAAGAAAAAUAAUAAAAAAAAAAAUAAAAACCUUCCCGUACCCACCCUCCGGCAUAAGAAGGUGCGUCCCUACGAGUACAAGAUACACAGGUGUAGAUACAUAUGUAAAAAGCUAGUAAUUAACCAACUAAUUAUUAAUUAUUAAAUAAAAUAGGGAUAUAAUAUUAAUGAUAAACACAUUAAAAUAUUCCAAAUGCUCAUGAAGUCAACAUGAGAAAUUAUAUUGCAAUAAAUUUCUUGUUGGGUGAGAAAUUCACAAGUAAAAUUUGUAUAGUAAAUAACAAACCGAAAGUUCCAGAAACAGGUCAAAACUUAAAACCCUAAAUGAGCUUACAAAUUUCCAUUGGCCACAUACCCCACCACAAAGGCACAAACAAUCAAUGAAACAAGUGUAGAUGUAGAGGCCUUUUUCACCACAAUCACCCUUCAUCGGCCAUUUCGAAGGCCACGUGAAAUGUCACUAACGUGGCCCUCUAAAUAUCCACUACUUUGUCUUUAACCCCUCCCCCCUCCCUUAUAAAACACUCCAUCCUCCUCCUUAAUCACCAUCACCAACAACCUUCUCUCCUUCCUCAAAAGUACCACCAUCUUUUCCGACAUGGCAGCUUCUUCAAUCUUCAUGGCAACUCCCAUCACACUCCUCAAAAAAACUCCCACCUUCUCCGUCAAAUGCAUGUCACAAACACCUCAAAGCGGUGAACCGGAGAUUUCAAAAUCAGCAACCACCCCAACACCACCACAGAUCAACAUUCCUCCUCCUCCGCCACCUGCUCCAAAGGUCAGCACGAAAUUCUCUGACGUGUUGGCGUUUAGUGGACCUGCACCGGAGAGGAUCAACGGAAGGUUGGCGAUGAUAGGGUUUGUGUCGGCGAUGGCUGUGGAAGUGAGCAGCGGUCAAGACGUGUUUACCCAGAUCGGCAACGGCGGAGUUGCGGUGUUUGUGGGGACUAGCGUCGUGUUGACGUU
rnacentral:lncRNA from 1 species